UGGGGAAUAUUGGACAAUGGGCGAAAGCCUGAUCCAGCCAUGCCGCGUGUGUGAAGAAGGUCUCCGGAUUGUAAAGCACUUUAAGUUGGGAGGAAGGGCAGUAAGCGAAUACCUUGCUGUUUUGACGUUACCGACAGAAUAAGCACCGGCUAACUCUGUGCCAGCAGCCGCGGUAAUACAGAGGGUGCUAGCGUUAAUCGGAAUUACUGGGCGUAAAGCGCGCGUAGGUGGUUCGUUAAGUUGAAUGUGAAAGCCCCUGGCUCAACCUGGGACCUGCAUCCAAAACUGGCGGGCUAGAGUAGGGCAGAGGGUGGUGGAAUUUCCUGUGUAGCGGUGAAAUGCGUAGAUAUAGGAAGGAACACCAGUGGCGAAGGCGACCACCUGGGCUCAUACUGACACUGAAGUGCGAAAGCGUGGGGAGCAAACAGG
rnacentral:rRNA from 1 species